rnacentral:lncRNA from 1 species
AGCAUCAAUAAUCAAUACCGUGUGCUACUAUGCAACCACGCGUAUUACUGUAUAUUUACUACCGAGUAGUUCAACUGUAUUAACGGUAAAACUUUCGUCGUUAUUUUCAUAAAAUAUUUUUAUCGUUUUCUCAAUCCGACAAUAAUUCCGUUGUGGGGUCCACCAAUGAUUGUGCCGUUGCACGAAUAUUCUCUGAUAAAAUAUUCCCCGACCAAUCGAAUAUAAUAUGACAACUUGCAUACUUUGCAAAAUUUAUAAAUACUACCCAUAACUAUAACAUUAUCUCAAAUCCACACCAUAAUAUUAAAAAUAAAUAUUGCGAAAAAAAUUAAAUCUUUAUUCAUAAAAUCUGAGGUCUCACAAUCUCCCCUCCUUAUGAAAUUCCGCCCUCAAAAUUUACGUACGUACCUGG